rnacentral:rRNA from 1 species
CGCCUCUUGCAAUUUAUAAGAGGUCCUGUCUGCCCGGUGAUAUCAUUAAACGGCCGCGGUACCCUAACCGUGCAAAGGUAGCGUAAUCACUAGUUUUUUAAUUAAAGACCUGUAUGAACGACCCCACGAGAGUCGAACUGUCUCCUCUUUCCCAUCAGCGAAACUAAUCUCCUCGUUCAAAAGCGAGAAUUAUACUAUAAGACGAUAAGACCCUGUGGAGCUUUAAACACCUAGCAUUUGUCUAUUACUCAUCUCUUUAGACAAAAUACUACUAGUUUUUGGUUGGGGCGGCCUCGGAGGAAAAUAAAUCCUCCAAGAUGAAUUGGAUUUUUCUUCAACUUUAAGCUACACCUUUAAGUACCAGUAUACUGACAUCAAUUGACCCUUAUUGAUCAACGAACCAAGUUACCCCAGGGAUAACAGCGCUAUCUUCUUCGAGAGUACAUAUCGACAAGCGGGUUUACGACCUCGAUGUUGGAUCAGGAUAUCCUAGUGGCGUAAAGACUACUUAAGGUUCGUUUGUUCAACGAUUAAAAUCCCACGUGAUCUGAGU